UACGUAGGGCGCAAGCGUUAUCCGGAAUUAUUGGGCGUAAAGAGCUCGUAGGUGGUUUGUCGCGUCUGCCGUGAAAGUCCGGGGCUCAACUCCGGAUCUGCGGUGGGUACGGGCAGACUAGAGUGAUGUAGGGGAGACUGGAAUUCCUGGUGUAGCGGUGAAAUGCGCAGAUAUCAGGAGGAACACCGAUGGCGAAGGCAGAUCUCUGGGCCGUAACUGACGCUGAGGAGCGAAAGCAUGGGGAGCGAACAGG
rnacentral:rRNA from 1 species